UCCCCUGUGUGAAUCCUCUGGUGUUUAACCAGGCUGGAAUUGUGUCUGAAACUUUUCCCACAAUCAGGACAUUCAAAGAGUUUACCUCUUGUGUGAGUCUUCUGGUGAAACACUAGGUUGGAGUUGUGUCUGAAACUUUUCCCACAAUCAGGACAUUCAAAGGGUUUCUCUCCUGUGUGAGUUCUCUGAUGGUUCACCAGGUGAGAAUUCUGAAUGAAACCUUUCCCACAAACAGGACAUUCAAAGAGUUUCUCUCCUGUGUGAGUCCUCUGAUGGCUCACCAGGUCGGAAUUCUGUCUGAAACUUUUCCCACAAUCCGGACAU